GGACCUAUGAAAAUAGUUGAAAUAGAUGAGAGACAAAAAUGGGCAAAUCUAAGACUAAGUAUAACACUAAUAACAGAGGUAGACACAUCAAGGGUAGCUGGGUAUUUGGUGGCUUAAAACGAGGCAGUAGAAAAUGUUUUUUAAUAUCUGUCGCAAAAAGGGACAAGGAAACAAUCAAACAUUGUUAAAAUUAAUAAUAUAAAACAUAGAGCCACAAACAACUAUUGUUAGUGAUUGCUUUAGAUCGUAUGCCUGUCUUAAUAAUGAAGGUUUUAAACACCUUACAGUCACAGUGAAACACAAGUAUUGUUUUGUGAACCCAAAUAAUAGCGCGCAUACACAGAAUGUAGAAAGAUUGUGGAGGGAAGUUCUGUCUCUGGUUCCCAGAUACAGCAACAAAAAACACCAUUUAGAUGGACAUUUAGCGGAAUUUUUAUUCCGAUAUAAAUAUCCAGAUUACAAAACAAGAAUUCAUAACAUUUUUAAGGCUAUAGGGGAACUAGAUUUUGAAAAGUAUGAAGAUGUAUUUGAACAUGAACAUAGGCCUACCAUAAAUUUAACAAGCGUAGAGUGUGACAUCGACUUAGUAUCGGAAAGAUCAAAUUCUGAUUCUGAGUCGGCCAGGGAAAGUGAAAAGUUUCAAAAUACUCAUAACAUUGUAGUGAAAAGGUUGCCGAUGACUCAGGAGUAUAAAUUCCUCUCAACAACAUUAGAGAAAGAGGGCCGACUAUUGAGUUAUGUAAUUGCCAAUGGCAACUGAUUUUUCUGAGCAGUAUCUGCUAGCAUUUAUGGAGAUGAUGCAUACUAUGCAUCUUUUAGAACUAUUACUGUUCAAUUCUUGACUGACCACCAGAACCACUUCAAACAAUUUAUUCAUAGAUGGAGAACAUGUCCACGGACAAAUACAGACUAUGUCAGAAAAUGGUUGUUGGGCAACAACAUGUGAGCUGUACGUAGAUGCCACUGUACUGCAGAGAGAACUGUAUGUCUUUAUGCCACACAGUGGAAACACAGAAUACAAGUGGAUACUAAUACUGCCUGUAUUUCCUCACCAGGAAAUGUUAAUUGGAGGCUGAAAUGCAAGCAUGUCAAGUAGAAACAGCAGUGCACUCAGUAACAUUACAUGUUCAGCCACAAUCCAUUGUUUUUUUGGAUCAAUACUGGAAGCAGCUACAAAAGGCUCAUACCAUAAAGCAAACUGUGUAACUAUUGAACAUCAUAAAGUGCGGAUGAAAUCUGGUGGGACGCAGACUGAUAGCUUCAUUCUGAUUGUAUGCUCAACUUAAAAAAAAACCUGUAAGAUUCAAGAUUCUUAUGAACAUAAUGCGCUACAUGAGCUCAUUUUCAUCCAAAUCAUCUAGAAGGGAUUCAACAUUACAAGUAAAAAUGUUAGUAACAAUUUUAAAGAUUUUAGCUCUGAUGUCUGUGGAGAAAAUUUACAUAAAGAAAAAAAAAUUGUGUCUUGGAGACGUAUUUUGCAACUUUUGCUAAAUAUCUUAUUUGUAAUGUUUUAAAAAUGUUGAUCUACUCUUCUGUAACAAUGGUAGCUGCUUUUUAUUGUAUAUGUGAAAAAAAUUACACAUGGGAAUGGUGCAGACGAACUUUACAUAGCCAAAUGCCUUUGGGUAACAUUUUGACAUCAGCUGCCAUAAUUAUUACUGGAUUAUUCCUUUCCCUCUUAAAUUCUUAAGAUUCUUUAAUUUUCUAUGUAUGCCUGAUUCUUUAAGUUUCUCUGUAUGCCUGUUUAUGCCAGCCUUUAAAAAUGAUCAUCUAACACUUCUGGAUCAAUGUUACGGCAAAUGUGAAAAAAUUUACACAUGGAAGUGGUGUAGCCUACCUUGACCUAAAGCCAUGGGGUAACAUUGUGACAUCAGCUGCUCUAAAAAUAAUUAUUUCUGGAUUAUCCCCUCUAAAAGUCUUAAGAUUCUUCAAAUGUUUCUACAUACCUGUCAAUGUUAUCCUUUAUAAAUGUUCAACUAAGCACUUCAGGAACAAUGGUAACUGCUUACGGCAUAUGUUUAUGGCACAUGGAAAUGGCCUCAGCCAACCUUGACAUAGGCAGCCUUGGGAUAGCUUUUUGACUUCAGCUGCCGUAAUUAUUUCUGGAUUUUCCUCUCUAAAAGUUCUAAGAUUGUUCAAGUGUCUCAAAAUACCUAUUUAGGCUAUCCCCCUUUCUUUAAUUCUUAAAAAAAAAUAUACAUAUCCAACCAAUAGUUAGAAAUUUUGGGGAGAAAUAACAAAAAUAUUAGUCAUGGCAAAAAAUUAAAACUAGAAAUGAACCUAUUAUCAGAUGAGAUGCUAAAUAAGAUUCUCUAGGACACGGUAAUAGGUAGCCAUACAUGCAUAGUCAUAAAAAGUAGCUGUGCUACCCAAUGAAGGGAAGGGCUCGUAUCAUAUGGAACUUAAAAGAUUUCAAUGUUGUUUAACCUUUUUAUAAUAUUAGUAGAUCCAAAAUUGUCAGUGAUAGACAUGUUGAGGAGAAAAUUUUGAAGAGUAGAAAGUCCAUUAAUUUUAAUGAUGCCAUCAAGGCUGAACACUUGAAUCCACAUGAUAUGGUCUCUUUAACCUUAUCGUAACUAAGAUAAUAGCACAUUCCCAUAAAUAAAUGUAAUGGUAUCUAAAUUAUUUCCACAGAAUUAUAUAUUAUAUUAUUAGUUCUUAAUAUUAUUUACUUAGAGCUAUAAGAAAAGACCAAUGGCAGCCUCUAUUGCGCUUGUUUUUAAUUUAAUGGUUAGACCCUUGAAAAACAUGAUGUUCACAGACUCCUCAGCUACUGGGGUAUAAAAAUAGUUUGGUUUCUUCGUUUCAUUUCACCUAUUAAAUUUAUAAUUCAAGGCAACUUGCAUUAGUGUUGGACCUAAUCUGCAUAAUGAACGAGCAGUAGUAGAAAUGAGGGAAAUAGUAUUUAUAAUAUUAAAUUGUGCUACUGUCAUCAAAUUUCUUCCACUGAAUCAUUUCUAACUUUACUCUUGCUUAUGGCAUUAAAUUUCUUGUCACUCCUUCUCCCUGCUGACAGAGGAAGGUCUUGAUAAUCUAAUCUUGAGUUUGAUUUAGAGGUUUCUGGUGAGAAUAGGGAUGGUGCAUAGAAUGUAGAAGUCUCAAGUUGCUUUUGGGAUGUUAGAGAUUCUUCAAGUGGAACUGGGGAUGCAUUAGUUGUUUUUGAAGAUAUACUUUGUGAAGAUCUUUCUGCUUAAGUUGAGAUUGGGGAGGUGGAUCUAUAAGCUUGAUUGUUACACAACUUUUUGAACAUGUUUAUUGUUGUGACGUUAAAAAACUGCUUUGUGCUUAUUCUGGUGUGGCCAUUUUAACUUAACUAAAUGGUUAAACAGGUUUCAAAAUUCCUGCAAAGCUCUAAUGUGACACCUUUGCCAGUAGUGGCAAUGUGUCUUCUGACAGUAUCUGUCCAUGCUGGCUUAAGAGAACCAAAGAAGGCUUGGUUAAGUGGUUGUAUUAGUUGGCUAGCAUUGGGCGGGAAACAGUACAGUAAGAUGUUGUUUUCAGAACACAAAAUGAAUGUUUCUAAUAAGAACAUGGGUACCCCGACAAAAUAGCGCAAAAAAAAAAAUCUUUUUUGUCCAUAAGGAAAUGAGUCUUACAAUUUGUGCAUUACACCAAACAAAACAUUGUAACUAUAAAAAAAACAAAAUGUACAUUCACAUUAUAUCAGAUUGUUUCUAUUUAAUGAUUUGAUUGCCUGGGGAAAAAAGAGUGUUUGUGUCUGUUUGUCUUUGCAAUUGGUUUCUUGUAUCUCUUUUGUGAUGGUAAAAUCACAAAAUCCUGACCCAAAGGGUGAUUUUUUAGUUCUAGAAUCUUUUUAGCUUUUUUAUGGAUGUUUGUCUCAAACAGCUGCCCAAAUGGAGUUUGUUUUUGCCAAUGACUUUACCAACAGCAUUUAGGAUUUUAUGGAGUUUAUUUAUAUUUUUAAUGCUCAGACAAUUUUUAAUGAUCUGACUAAUUUCAAUGCAUUUCUUCAAUGCAAAAUACUUUUUUCUUGUAAUUUCUUUUCUACGGAAAAUAAUAUCUUGUCCCUUGUCAUUCUCUCUUUUUUCUUUAAAGUUGCAUUUUUCAGCUUGGGACCUUAAUUGUGUAAUAAGCAUAUCACAUGGAAAGACUUUAUCCAUAUUCCAAAACCUAAAUGUUUCCAGAACUUCAUUUUUCCUUGGGUUACGAUUGUCAUUCAACUUCUUUAAUAACAUUUGUGGGUCAUUACAUCUUCAGUUUCAUCAUAUUUGAAAUGUUCACAAAUCUCUUGGGCCUGUGGUCCAGCACAGUGUAAGAUAAUGGCUUUUUGUCUGCUUUUAGGCUGCUCCUCUGCACCUAUAGCCAAUAGAAACCAUUUAAGUUGUCUUUUCCAUUGAUGGAAAUGUUCACAAAUGUUGCCAUCUACCAAGUUUAACUGUGAUGGUGGUCUGAGCUGACCUUCUGCCAUCUAGAUCUAUAUCAUGCCAGAUAUCUAGAUCUAACCAAAACUCUUGGUACCGCUGCAACCAUGUUGAUAACAUUUAUAAAAUAGCACAGAAAAAUAUAUUUCAGUCAUUUUGAAAAAAAUACAUAAGAUAGUGUAAAAUAUGAAUAGAGACAUUAUUUUUUUUUUUAAUGUUACCGUCAUUUUGCAGGAAACACUUUAGAUAUUUUAAAACAUAGAUAUGCAAACAGUAAGCAAAAAUUAUACUAAGCUAAAAUGAAUAAUUUCAAAAUAUAUCAUUCAUGUACACAUAUUUUGAAAACAGGCAAAGAUACUCAUCAGAUUUAUACACACACACAAACUUGCACAAAGUUAAAUUGUAAGCUAAAUGUCAUGUAGAAAUUCCAUCACUUGCUUGUUUCCGCACAUUAGCAAUAUACCUUCAUGUCGUCUGUUAAGUUGUAUCUACUUUGUCUUGCAGCUUGACUUCAUUCUCCAGUAUUGUACCUCAGAAUCUUGUUCUCAGUGUUCUCUUGUUCUCUGAGGAAGUGGGAGAUGAACUUGUAGACAUUGGGGUAAUGACCAUCAAUAGACAGCUGAAAUGCAUGGUGCUGUCCCUCCACUAAAUGCAAGGGUCAAUAUCCUGAAGGCAUUUUUCCAAAUUUGAAAACCAAUUUUUAACAUCUGUUGCUGAAAUGAUGGCUCUGUCUUUUCUGAGGGACCUAGGCAUUAUUGUUGCCAAUUCUAGAUAGCACUUAAAAAAUGAAUAUAACCAUUGUUUUAUUUCAUACUUCACUAUCUAGAGUAGGAUCUAUAUAAUUAUAUCUCUAGCUUUUCUCUUUUCUAUGUCUAUUUUUCUUUCUUCCGUUGGUAACUUUUUUCCUUUUCCAUGGCUAAUUUCUCUUUAUCCAUUGCUAACUUCUCUUUAUCCAUGGCUAACUUCUAUUUCUCUUCUUUAUGCAUAGCUAACUUUUCAUUUCCCCUUGCUAGCUUCUCUUAAUUUCUAUUUCUUCAAUUCUUUUUUGCAUAGCUAACUUCCUUUUUUCCAUGGCUAACUUAUCGUUCUCUAAUUCCUUAACCAAUAGCUAAAUUUUCGUUAUCCAUGGCUAACUUGUCAAAGUUCUUUUGACUUGGCUUGAGCCAAAAGUAACUUAGUUAAUAUCCGAAUAGUCCCCACUGACUAACACACUUUCUCUCACACACAAGGAAAACUAAAAUCAUUCAGUUCACAUCACAAGCAGACUGUUCACAUUCAUACCCUGGGAAUAUAUAAACAAAGGAGUGUAACUCUUUCAUACUCAAGUUACAAAUCAUAUCUCUCUACAUCUACCUUGACAUUUCUCUAAAUAACUUCUUUUUCUCUAAUUUCUUAUCAAUAGCUAAAUUCUCUUUAUUCAUGGCUAAAUUAUCUUUAUUGAAGGUCAAAUUUUCUUUCUCUUUUAUUAUAGCUAACUUAGCUCUCUCUAAAGCAAACUUUUCUCUUUAUAAUAAUCUCUUUUUUUUUGGCACAUAUUUUCCAAGUUCUGGACCUUUUAAAUUCAGUAACUUCCCCUCUUUCUUCAACUUAUUUAUGAAUUAUUCAACUUUAUCAAUUAAAUGUAUGUAUAACACAUAUACUUAAAGAUUAAACACAACUAAAUCAAAUAUAACAGUUAUUGUAAUUAUACUACUAAUGUCUAUAUAAACAAUAUAACAAUGUCUUUAAUAGUUAUAGAUAGUCUUCUUCCUGCUGGCAUAUAACUUUUAUUGUUGGAAUAACUUUCUGCUGUUAUUAUUGUGCUGUUUAUCAGUCCAUUGUUGUUUGAAUUGAAGAUUUGAUUCAGUACAUGUCUGUUCAAGUAUGAAACUAAAUAUAGUUUCCCAGUGUAGACCGUACAAUCAAAGGGCAAACAGGGGUGUCCUCAUACAACUCUUUCAUAAAGAACCUCAGGGCAGUGAACAUCGGCUGGGAAGGGGCUGGAGCUGUAGCCAGUAAUCGAUCUCUAAGGAGACAGCCCGCUGACUAAUGUGCCAAAUGGCACCGGGGGUGAGGGGGGGGGGGUGUAAUAAGUAAGUCAGUGACGUAGAUCACCACGCCAUUGUCAUGCAUUCCCUUAAGUGCUGAGCUGUUUUACAACGAGUGCAUAAAAAGCGGAGGCUAAACUACCACACGCGCCUUAAGGGUUAAAAGAAUGUGUUAAAUAUAAUUUGAGUCCAAUGGUAGGGGAUGGUUCCCUCUCACAUGUUUCAUAACCUUCUGGUUACCCGAAGCAAUUGUUUGAAUUUUUUAAAAGUAUCUCAAACUCUAGUGUUGAGCUUAAUGUGUUGAGUAGUGAUGCAGAGCUUGACAAUCUAGCAUAUGAUUUUCCAUUGACAGAACCCUUUGUUAUUGACAAUAAGCUCAUCAAAUGAAGAAAUACAGUCUGCUGAGUUAACGACUUCACUACACCUUUGCAUAUUAACCAUCACUGAUAAUAAUCGCAAGUGAACAUCUAAUCUUUGUAAUACAUGAAAGUCUAAUAAAAUAAGGCGACGUCUUGAUAUCAUACCAGGUACUCGACUCAGCUAGAACACCAUAAGCUUUAUAUAAAGUCUAGAUUUAUGGUUGAUUGAACACAAUUAGAUCUAGUUCCACCGAGUGAACAGCACAUCUAAUAGCUUGACUGUCAGUAGACGAGUUCAAUAUAAAUAAAAUGUAAGUCUUGCCUUUUACAUUGGGUGCCACUUGUUGCAAGCACGAGACAUUAAUACAUUAACACAGUAAGUUGCUCUAUUAAGAAUUUAAUCUUGAUUCAGUAAGUAAACAUUGUAUACACUAUUUAAUCAUAUUACUCCAUUUUCCUGCUUCUCUCUCCUUAUAAUGUCACUUACAUUCAACACACCCAUUCACACCACUUACAUGCUGCACUCCAACCAGAAGGGUUGAUACAUUUAAGGCAUAGACUAUAUAUAUACAGGACUGCAAACACUAAGGUAACUAAGCAUAAGUUUCGUUCAACACCAAACUCAUGGGCGAGGUACUUCCGGUAUAAACUUAUUUUGCGACAUUCAUGAAGUUUGAAUCAUGAUGCCAGCUUGGAUAAUAUUUUUUCUUUCUCUUUUCAUCACAUUUGACAAUUUCUUUUUACAUUGCAUACUAUUAAUAUUUUAGGGUUGACACUAAAUGUACAAAAUGUGUGUCCCACUUAUUAUACAUGGAUGAUCUAAAGCUAUAUGCAGAAACCAAGCAAAAAUUACACACCUUAAUCAAAACGGUAAAAUGCUUUAGUGACGAUAUCUGUAUGUCUUUUGGCCUGGAUAAGUGUGGCAUCAUAAGCAUUAAAAAGGGCAAGGCAACGAACACCAACAUUGAAUUUGAAGGCAUCGAGGAAUUGAACUCUGCCUCAAUUUAUAAAUAUCUUGGAAUAAACCAGAAUGCCAAGAUAAACCAUAAGAAAUUAAAAGAGGA